rnacentral:lncRNA from 1 species
GUAAUGUCAAUUUAAUUCAAAAUAGGGCCUAAAUUAGCCCAAGUUAAAAUCAUGAACUAACCCAUUCGGAUAACCAGCAAUCCGGCCCAAAUCUUAUAGAUUUAAUCUCAGCCAUCCACAACUUAGAUCAGACGGUCCCUAUUCAUUUCCUACCAUAUUUUCUUUUUAAUUAUCCUAUCACCUCUGACCCUAAUUCAUUUUCCCCAACCCCAGCCGCCAUAUUCUCCUAUCCUUCCUCCCACCACCUCAUUUGUAUUUUUUAAAAACCCAAACAACGUUGUAUAUCCUCGCAACAAUGUUGUUAUGCUUCGUCUUCUUCAUUAUUUAUUUUUGAAAGUGCUCACAAACUUCAAUUUCAAGAAAACCCCAAAUAAAAAAAAAACAGAAUUAGUAUCCAACAAAAUUUCAUUUCAGAAUUCAUUUUAUGGUGUAAGGAGAAUGAGGAAAGGGAAAGUGAUUUUAUUGUGGUGUUUUUGGUCAGCGAUGGGCCGAUCCCUAAUUAAUUCUCCGUAUUUUUUUAUAUUUUCUGGUGUUGAUUGAUCUUUGUUCUUUAACUGAGUUUUUCUUUUUCUGGGUUUAUAUGUGAGUUCUGUUUGUUAUCAUCGUCGUCGUUUAUUGCGAUUUGAUCUUCAAAUAAAGUGUAGCAGGGGUGAAAAUUCUUUUCGUCAACAUAUCCAUCUCCAGCACUAUGUAUGCCAGUGCUGAAUAUUUUUGCGGUGAUUGAGAUUGCUGUGUGAAAGAACAGAAACGUCCUUAAGGGUUUGUGUGAAAUGACAAAAUUACCCUUGGCGAAGCUGGCAAGACAACCGUCUCCUGCCCUGCUUUAAGCCACUUAUGUAUGUUAUGUUACUCAGACUAGAUGCAUGGAGCCCGUGCAAAUACGGGCCCAACAAAAAUUAUUUUUUUAUUUUAAAUUCCGUGGUAUCGGUAAACUUUUAAGAGUUGAUUAAAUUUUUUGAGUGAUUUUUAACCAUUUUUGGAGUUAUUAAUUCUUGUGAUAUAUAAUAUUUUUUUAACUUUGUAGAUAAUACGUGGAACUUUUAUUAUUUCAAUUUAUGUGACAUCGAUGAAAUUUGGAGAGUCAAUAAAAUUUUUAAUAUAAUUUUAAAUUAUCGUGUUGCUUUUUAAAUAUUUUAAGUUGUUAAUUACUAUAAUUUAUAAUCCUUUCACAUAAUUUUUAGUUAAUAUAAUUAGUUGUUUCUAUUUUCAAUUUAUAUGCAUUGAUAAAAUUUAGAGAGUCAACUAAAUUUUUUAUAAAAAGUUUCUACACAUUUUGAAUUUUUAAUUAUUGUAAUUUAUAGUACUUUAUACUAUUUUUCAAAUAAUAUAUG